UACGUAGGGUGCAAGCGUUAAUCGGAAUUACUGGGCGUAAAGCGUGCGCAGGCGUCUUGCAAGACAGAUGUGAAAUCCCCGGGCUCCAACCUGGGAACUGGACAUUUGUGACUGCAAGGCUGGAGUACGGUAGAGGGGGAUGGAAUUCCGCGUGUAGCAGUGAAAUGCGUAGAUAUGCGGAGGAACACCGGUGGCGAAGGCAAUCCCCUGGACCUGUACUGACGCUCAUGCACGAAAGCGUGGGGAGCAAACAGG
rnacentral:rRNA from 1 species